rnacentral:rRNA from 1 species
UACGGAGGGUGCAAGCGUUAUCCGGAUUCACUGGGUUUAAAGGGUGCGUAGGUGGUCUGAUAAGUCAGCGGUGAAAGCCUGGAGCUCAACUCCAGAAUUGCCAUUGAUACUGUCGGACUUGAAUCAAGUUGAGGUGGAUGGAAUAUUACAUGUAGCGGUGAAAUGCUUAGAUAUGUAAUAGAACACCGAUUGCGAAGGCAGUUCACUAAGCUUGCAUUGACACUGAGGCACGAAAGCGUGGGGAU